rfam:Dipodomys ordii contig_11497, whole genome shotgun sequence.
GGGAAGGUGGCUCAGUGGUAGAGUGCUUGCCUUGCAUGCAUGAGGCCCUGGGUUCGACUCUUCAGUACCA